rnacentral:rRNA from 1 species
UUGCACGCUGGCGGCAUGCUUUACCCCUGCAAGUCGAACGGUAACAGGCCUUCGGGUGCUGACGAGUGGCGAACGGGUGAGUAAUGCAUCGGAACGUGCCCAGAGGUGGGGGAUAACGCAGCGAAAGCUGUGCUAAUACCGCAUGUGAUCUGAGGAUGAAAGCGGGGGACCAGGCAGCAAUGUUUGGCCUCGCGCCUUUGGAGCGGCCGAUGUCAGAUUAGGUAGUUGGUGGGGUAAAGGCCUACCAAGCCGACGAUCUGUAGCUGGUCUGAGAGGACGACCAGCCACACUGGGACUGAGACACGGCCCAGACUCCUACGGGAGGCAGCAGUGGGGAAUUUUGGACAAUGGGCGCAAGCCUGAUCCAGCAAUGCCGCGUGCGGGAAGAAGGCCUUCGGGUUGUAAACCGCUUUUGUACGGAACGAAAAGGCUCUGGCUAAUACCUGGGGCUGAUGACGGUACCGUAAGAAUAAGCACCGGCUAACUACGUG